rnacentral:rRNA from 1 species
GAAGGUCCCAAGCGUUGUUCGGAAUCACUGGGCGUAAAGGGAGCGUAGGCGGCGUGGUAAGUCAGAUGUGAAAUCCCGGGGCUCAACCCCGGAACUGCAUCCGAUACUGCCAUGCUAGAGGAUUGGAGAGGUAGCUGGAAUUCUUGGUGUAGCAGUGAAAUGCGUAGAGAUCAAGAGGAACACUCGUGGCGAAAGCGAGCUACUGGACAAUUCCUGACGCUGAGGCUCGAAGGCUAGGGUAGCGAAAGGGAUUAGAUACCCCUGUAGUCCUAGGAGUAAACGGUGCACGCUUGGUGUGAGGGGAAUCGACCCCCCUUGUGCCGGAGCUAACGCGUUAAGCGUGCCGCCUGGGAAGUACGGUCGCAAGACUA